AUGUUACUGCUCAAGUAUCUGAGCCUAAGGGGAACAGAUGUUACCCAGCUGCCGACUGAAAUCAAUAACCUCCGUGAGCUAGAAGUAUUGGAUAUCCGAGAAACAUAUGUGCCUCCAUCUGCAACAGUAAAUGUCUUACUCCUGAAGUUGAAGCGUUUGCUGGCUGGUCGCAUUGUUCCAAGUUCGGGGGUAAGUAGUACUGAACUAUUUAGUGUUGAGAUCCCUGAUAAGGUCGAAAAAAUGGUAAACAUGGAGGUAUUGUCCAAUGUCAAGGCACAGACGAGACAAGAUAUGAAAGAUAUUGGAAAGUUGUGGCAGCUCAGGAAGCUUGGUGUGGUUAUUCAAUACAAGGAGCCACACCUCAGGAAUUUUCUUCGAGCUAUCAGUGAUCUGCAUGAGUGCCUGAAGUCUCUGUCAAUCACUCUUCCCAAUAUAGAGGACAACAAAGAGAUCAGAGAUUGGGUUCUUGAACACUAUAAAAACUCUCCCAAGCUUCUCGAGAGCCUAAGCAUUACUGGAACCACACAAACAGUGCAACUUCUUCGGUUGUUGACCAGAGAUAUUGACCAACUCCAACUUCGCAAGGUAACUCUAUCUGGUACCCGGCUGUAUCAGCCUGAUCUGAAGGUCCUUGGCAAGCUUCCCAAAUUAAUAUGUCUCAGGCUCCGAGAUAACGCAUACAUCGAUAGCAACCUCACCUUCAACAAUGAUGAAUUCGAAAAUCUCAAGUGCUUUCUUAUUGAGGGUUCCAACAUAACUGCCCUCAGCUUUGGAGGUGGAGCACAUAAACUCGAGAAAAUCGUGUUGUGCUCCACCGAUGGACUGUCAAUUUCUGGAGUCGAAGACCUUCUGGAACUGAAGGAUGUUGAGUUGAAGAACAGCAAUAAGUUAUCAUUGUUUGACAAGGCCAAAAACAUAUCCAAGGUGACUCUUUGGCAUACCUCUCUGAGUCAAUAUGAGGUAGAGAUUCUCGCCAAGAUACCUAACAUGCGCAACCUAGUACUCAAGGACAUAUUUUGUGUACAAAGCCAGCUUAUCUUAUACAAAGAUGACUUCCCAAAGCUCAACCUUCUUACAGUCGACUUCUCUGUCACCCCCAAGACUAUCAUUACCGACGGAUCAGCUCCUAAGCUCGAGAAAAUCAUCUGGUCCUUCACAAAGGACACGGUGGGUACUCUCUCCAUCUCCGGCACUGACAUCCUUCCAAACCUGAAGGAGCUCGAGAUCAAUGGUGAUUUUAUCCCUAGGGAGGUGGAAGAAGCAUUGAAGAAACACAAGAACAAACCCAAGUUUACAUACAACAAACCGGAAAACCAAUACCAGGAAGCUGGAAACAUACCAGAAAAGAAAGAUCCUCCAAGAUUCUCAUUUUUGAGGAAGAAAGAGGAUUGA
rnacentral:rRNA from 1 species